GACGAACGCUGGCGGCGUGCCUAAUACAUGCAAGUAGGACGCAGUUGCGAACGGGUGAGUAACGCGUAGGUAACUGCCUAUUAGAGGGGGAUAACUAUUGGAAACGAUAGCUAAUACCGCAUACUAGUAGAUGGACCUGCGUUGUAUUAGCUAGUAGGUUGGGUAAUGGCCUACCUAGGCGACGAGACAUAGCCGACCUGGGAGGGGUGUCGGCCAAACUGGGACUGGGACAAGGCCCCGAUCCCUUCGGGAGGCAGCAGUAGGGAAUCUUCGGCAAUGGGGGGAACCCUGACCGAGCAACGCCGCGUGAGUGAAGAAGGUUUUCGGAUCGGAAAGCUCUGUUGUUAAGGAAGCGGUACUUAACCAGAAAGGGACGGCUAACUACGUGCCAGCCGCCGCGGUAAUUC
rnacentral:rRNA from 1 species